UCCCGAUAAUGGCAAACCUAUCUAAAGGUAGGGACGCAAAGCUAAAGGACCUAAAGAUAAAAGUAUUUAUCCAUGGUAGCCUGGCCACCGAA
rnacentral:ncRNA from 1 species